rnacentral:SRP_RNA from 1 species
CACGUGACCUGGGGGUCACGUGACCUCGACCUUUAGGGGGGAAUAUUUUCCACUAGAAUUAGCGGGAAAAUUUUGCCCGCUAAAUUUAGCGGGGAAAAUUUUCCGCUAGAUUUAGCGGGGAAAAUUUUCCGCUAGAUUUAGCGGGGAAAAUUUUUCGCUAGAUUUAGCGGGCAAAAUUUCCACGCUAUAUUUAGCGGGGAAAAUUUU